UGCAGCUUAUUCUCAGAUUUUGUAGGAUAAAUUUUAUUAUGUGUUUUAAAAAUCUUGGUUUAUUCUCAGUUUUCCAGGAAUAAUUGAUAAAAUAUUAUUCAUUUUUUCCAUUUAUCAUCAUGUUCUCUUCCAUCACAACUUUCAUUGUGUUUCUUAUUCAUACAUGAAAUAAAUAUCUUCACACUUCAAUCAUGGUUUGAGUUUGUACAAGGCUUGCUGAAAAAGUUGCAACUGCUGGAUACUUUGUAAUUGUUCCGGACUACUUCAAUGGGGAUCCAUAUAUAUCUGGGAGCCCGAUCCAAGAUUGGAUAAAGUCUCUUAUUCCAGUGAGUUUUGAAUAAUAUCGACUGUCGUAGUUAUUCUUUUCAUUGGAGAUAUAAGAAUCUUGUUCUUUACGUUGCUUGAAACCUUUUUUUUCAUUUUAAGUGUCAUAUUAUACGUGCAAUGUUUAUUUUAGUAGACAUUAAUGAGUUGUUAAAUGAAGAAUUCCUUUGAAAUUUCAUGAUUAAUCUCCUUCUCAAUAUGAUUUUCUCCAACUCGCAAAUCAUUUAAGAUCCAAGGCAGAUGUUUGAAUUGGGAAUGCAGUCUUUGGGAAAAAUUAGGGCUUAGUACAUCAAAUUCAUGUUCUCUCUAUCAAACAUAAAGGGUUGUUUUUCUUUCUUAUUUGAAAAUUUCAUAGCUUUUGGAGAUUCUCUUGCAUUCAACUUUUAUGGACAUUUCAUCACAUCUCUUUUGUGUCCUGCUGUGAUUUGUGUAUAUUUCAAUUCCUCAGUUUGUGUUUGUCACUUACUAUUGUAGUGGAAUGAAGAAGGAUGCAUUUUUUUUGCUCUCACAUGCCUUUUCUCUACUGUUAGUGAUCAGGAACUGUGAAACAUUAUUGUCAUAUGCUCAUGGAUGUGCACACAUGUUUCCUUGAGGAAAACUAUUCAUUGACAUAAUUCUGCUUCUUUACGGAAUUGUGUGCUGUUCAUUGUUUAUUGACGUACACUGGAAGCCCACAGAACCUGAAAAUUGGAUGUAGGUCAAGCCCUUUGAAACCAGGAUGUCAUCAGCUUCCACAAACAAUGGAGGAUAUCCAUGUCUCACAUGUCUGCAUUGCCACUUACCAUGUAACUCAAUUAUAUCAAAUUCUCCAGCCAAUCCUGAAAGAAUGUACUAUCGUUGUCUAGGGUGUACUUUUUUUCAUUAGUGUGAUGAAUAUGUAGAAGGUUUGAGCUACAAUGUGAACCUGAGGCAUUGUAACAUGCAACAAAGGAAUCAAUCACAAGUAUCGCAAGAACAUCCCAU
rnacentral:lncRNA from 1 species